rnacentral:rRNA from 1 species
AGGAUUAACGCUGGCGGCGUGCCUAACACAUGCAAGUCGAACGAGGUAGCAAUACCUAGUGGCAGACGGGUGAGUAACGCGUGGUCAACCUACCGUUGAGUGGGGGAUAACUAGCCGAAAGGUUAGCUAAUACCGCAUACGAGUCUCGGGGGCAUCCCUGGGCCUUAAAAGGAGCAAUCCGCUCGAUGACGGGACCGCGUCCCAUUAGCUAGAUGGUGGGGUAAUGGCCUACCAUGGCUCCGAUGGGUAGCUGGUUUGAGAGAGCGACCAGCCACACUGGGACUGAGAAACGGCCCAGACUCCUACGGGAGGCAGCAGUGAGGAAUUUUCCGCAAUGGGCGAAAGCCUGACGGAGCGACGCCGCGUGUGGGAAGAAGGGCCUUCGGGUCGUAAACCACUGUCGAAGGGGACGAUAAUGACGGUACCCUUGGAGGAAGCCCCGGCUAACUACGUGCCAGCAGCCGC